AAGCAAAGUUUACACCAUGUAGGGGAGCAGGUGCCUUAAAGUCUGGCUUCGCCCCCAAAAGAUUUUACCUUCAAAUAGCACGGAAGUCCCCUCUAAUGCUGCAAGAAUGCAAGGAGUUCAAGACUCAGCAACUUCCAGGAGACUGGUUCCUGAUUUAAUACGUGCAAAUAUUUUGUUUUCCUUUUCAUUCGAAUAUUUCUUCCUCCUUCCAUCCACUCAUUCAUGCUAACUAAUGAACAGGAAACCAACAACAACGUGUAAAAAUCCUGUGAACGUUGGAAUUGACUACACCCAUAGUGGACACUUUCCCAAAGCAUCCCUGUGGUAGCAGCAAUUUAGUGUUCACUGCAGAGAUAAGUGACUGUAGUGUAUAGGCAAAGGCCAGCCCUCCAGAACGCACCUCAUUUAUUGAUGAGAUUGCAAUAGUUCUGUCAAGUGCCAAAUAAAGUUUCUUGCCCUCAGAGAAUGUUGCCAGAGGUCUGCUGUUGAGGGGGCUUAGCCAGCUACUAAAUAAAGCA